AAAAAACUAACUAAAAUUCUCUCAAACAUCUCUCCCCUCUCCAGACAUCCGGUCAGAGGAACGGCCAACCACCACCACCCCGACCGCCGGUCACCGGCGACAGCGCCGCCGUCCGCGGUUGCCGGAAAGUCGAAAAGGUGGUUGGUGGCCGGUGGCAGAGUUGGUGGCUGAUGAUGGCUGCGAACAGAGGGCGGGUGAGGAGGCCAGGAGCAGGUGCAGCACAACAGGGGGCUAGGGUUUCUGCUAGGUGUUUAGGUUUUGGGCUGAUUGGGCUGUUAGGGUUUUUAUUUUUUUGGGCUUUGUUUGGUUGUAAUGGGUAGAGGUUUAGGUUUGUAUUUGGGUUGUUGGGUCAAUUUGGGCUGGUUCUGUUUGGUGCUUUAGGUGUUGUAAUUGGGCCAUUCGGGUUUGGGUUUAGUCUAGGUGGGUUAAUUUGGGCUCUGCUGGUUGGGCCAUCUGAUUUGGGUUUAUUGGUUUUAUUUUCUCUGGUGGGCCGGGCAAAUUUGGGCUUCUACAAUGUAGGUAGGUGUUUAUUUCUUAGAUUCCAUAGGUUUAACUGAGUCUUAAUAGUGUUUGGAACUUGUUAUAUUAGCGCUUUAAUCCAUAGAAAUGAAUUGGUGUAACUUAGGGUCAAGUUAGGAACCAUUUGGUAGGUUCCAGGUUAGACAGUAAGUCACAUGACGAUGUCCACUAUCCUGACAUCGCCACAUUCUCGAUCAAAGUUAUGACUUGUCCCUUCCAUGUUGCGACAUGGCCAAGCAUGUAGGGAUGCUACGAUGUCCCCUAUUUUCACGUCGCAACUUAACUUACUAUUUUAGCAUCAAGUCCCCAAUCCCACCGAAGCACAAUUAGAACACAAAUUAUGUGUUUCGGAAUGUUUAAAAAUGCUCUCGUAUCUUGUUUAAUUUCAUCGUGUUCUGGUAUAUGUUUAGAAACUUGUUUUGUUAGUGUCUAAAUGUUUGAUUGGAUAGGAGUUGCUCCGACAACGAAUGUGACGUCACGCACUCAGAUUCGGCGAACGAGCCAGGUUGGGGUGUCACAAUGCCUUUCAUAAAUUUUGCUAAUGUGAAUUGGUCAAAUUCUGCUAUUAGUCUUUGUACUAUGCAUAAGUUGUAGAUUCAAUCCCUAUACUUUAAUUUGGUCAAUCUUAGUAUUUGUACUUGUCAAAUUUUGAAAUCUUAGUAUUGACCAAAUGGUAGUUAUUAAAUUUGUUAGGUUAAAUUUUGUUAUUUGCAAAUCUUAUGUGGUAAAUAUAUUAUAACAAA